AAAAGUGUGGAGUCAAAUAUAAUCCCAAGUUGGGUAGGAAGAUACUUUACCUACAGUAACAAACAGUACACGGAACAAAGGCUGCUUGUCCUGACUACCUCUGUCAAAAACAAAUGAUGAUGAGUAAAGGUGAAAGAUUUUGACAUGAUGAGGAGAAAAUUGAGCUGCUGAGAAGUUUUUCUUCUUUUAGUGACAUUCAGACACUCCUGCUACAGGAAGAUGAGUUAGCAUUUGCCACCUUCACCGUGCUGCCAACUGACCUCUCCCAGUUUAUUUCUGGUAGAAUUUCCAAUAUUUUUAAUACCAUAAUGCUGGUAGAUAAAAGAUUAAGAAUAAA